rnacentral:rRNA from 1 species
AAGCUCGUAGUUGAAUUUCGGGGUUAGUAGGUUGGUCAUGCCUCUGGUAUGUACUGGUCUCACUGAUUCCUCCUUCCUUAUGAACCGUAAUGCCAUUAACUUUGGUGUUGCGGGGGAAUUUGGACUGUUACUUUGAAAAAAUUGAGUGUUUAAAGCAAGCUAACGCUUGAAUACAUUAGCAUGGAAUAAUGAAAUAGGACGUUCGAUCUUAUUUUGUUGGUUUCUAGGAUUGACGUAAUGAUUAAUAGGAUAGUUGGG